ACUUCACACAACUGGUAUACGACGAUGUUACAUAUUUACACUGGCAAAUACAUACAUUCAAGUAAGUAAAUUAUUAAAUAAAAAAAAAAUCUUACUUGACUCGUAAAUUAUAAAUACAUUAUAUUUUUUAGGUUGUCUCUGUCUGUGCGUGUGUGUGUGCGUGUGUGUGAACGUGUGUCUGUGUUUGAGUGCGUGUCCCUUUAUGCCUUACCAAGAAUCCUAAAUGAGGCCUCAGUUGAGCCCGGUCACGCCUUCAGGACCUUGGACAGCUCCACUGGCUUUCAUCCGCAUGACUAACAUUCAGCACCAAGGACAGCUUCCGCACGGAGGUGUGUAGUUGAAUAACAACCACGUCAUCGCCACUGGGGAUUAUACCAGUAGAAUAGGCUUGAUAUGUGAUGCCAGCAGCCCACUCGCUGUGGACAGGCAGCCGCAGAGGACGUGAACUCCUUCAGACCUGUGGGCACUCAGAUAUGUCAACCCGAAGGGCGGCACGAGCCACCAAAUCAAUCACCUGGAAAACACGCGGGCCAACUCACACCCCUGUGAUGUUCCCCGGCUUCAUCGAGCAGAGCUGUGACGCCGUCGACAUCAUCCGUCCGCUGACAGACGUAUGAACAUCUGCCAGAGCAGGUCUGCUCUCCAAACAUUUCUGUGGUAGUUUCCACUUCGGCAAAUCUCUCCAGGCCCACAUCUGGCCAAAAUGACACACACACACACACAGAUUAAGACAUGACAAAACAAUACCAGCCAAUCUUCUAUUACUUAUUAAAAAGUAAUACAUAUAUAUCCUGUCGUGUUCAAAAUAUCUAUGAAGAUAUUCUUGUGAGUCAGCAUGUUUGGUAUCACGGAAAUGAGAAAUGUCAAGCCGUGUGAUGCAUCUCAGGAAAACACACCGCUACAAAAUAAAAUGUCUCAUUUAUGUUCAGCUUUUUUUGUGGAUACAUCGCAACUGUAAACUUUCACUGCCUUGUUAGAAUGGAGCUCUUCUAUGUAUAUUGAUCAAUGUUUUUUUCUUUGAUGUCUAUGUAAAGGGUUUUUUCUUAUGACGUGGCUAAAUGGAAAUACUAGUGUUUUUUCUUUGACGUGAAAAUCCCUGUAAAGAGUAAAUAUGCAAACAGUAAACAUGUCAAAAACAUGAAAAUCUGUGUGUAUCUUUAUAAAUUGAAUUAAAUGUGGAAGUAUUUUUUUUUUUCUUACAGCAGAAAAGAUCUGCCUCAAGUCUCACAUCUA